rnacentral:rRNA from 1 species
GACUACAUGAAGCCGGAAUCGCUAGUAAUCGCGGAUCAGAAUGCCGCGGUGAAUACGUUCCCGGGUCUUGUACACACCGCCCGUCACACCAUGGGAGUCGGAAAUGCCCGAAGUCGGUGACCCAACCGCAAGGAGGAGCCGCCGAAGGCAGGUCCGGUAACUGGGGUGAAGUCGUAACAAGGUAUC